rnacentral:rRNA from 1 species
UAAGGUGCAUUGGUAGGAGAGCGUUCUAAGGGCGUUGAAGGUAGAUCGUGAGGACUACUGGAGCGCUUAGAAGUGAGAAUGCCGGUAUGAGUAGCGAAAGACAGGUGAGAAUCCUGUCCACCGUAUGACUAAGGUUUCCUGGGGAAGGCUCGUCCGCCCAGGGUUAGUCGGGACCUAAGCCGAGGCCGACAGGCGUAGGCGAUGGACAACAGGUUGAUAUUCCUGUACCCGUUGUUUUUGUUUGAGCAAUGGAGGGACGCAGGAGGCUAAGAAGUGCAGACUGAUGGAUAUGUCUGUUCAAGCAGUGAGUCUUAGUGGGAGUCAAAUGCUUCUACUUUCAAGGACAAGCUGUGAUGAGGAGGGAAAUAAUAGUACCGAAGCUU